GAAUUUUGCGCAAUGGGCGAAAGCCUGACGCAGCGACGCCGCGUGUACGAUGAAGGCCCUUGGGUCGUAAAGUACUGUCAACAGGGACGAAAAUAUGCAGGUUAAUAACCUGUAGACUUGACGGUACCUGUGGAGGAAGCACCGGCCAACUCUGUGCCAGCAGCCGCGGUAAUACAGAGGGUGCAAACGUUGCUCGGCGUUACUGGGCGUAAAGCGCGUGUAGGCGGUCCGUUAGGCCAGUUGUGAAAUCCCAUGGCUCAACCAUGGAAGGGCGACUGGAACCGGCGGACUGGAGUGCCGAAGAGGAUGGCGGAAUUCCUAGUGUAGAGGUGAAAUUCGUAGAUAUUAGGAGGAACACCGGUGGCGAAGGCGGCCAUCUGGGAGGUAACUGACGCUGAGACGCGAAAGCGUGGGGAGCAAACAGG
rnacentral:rRNA from 1 species